AAUGCGAUACCUAGUGUGAAUUGCAGAAUUCCGCGAAUCAUCGAGUUUUUGAACGCAAGUUGCGCCCGAGGCUCGUACCGAGGGCAUGUCUGUCUGAGCGUCCU
rnacentral:rRNA from 1 species